AGCAGUAUGGCUCAGUGGAAAGAGCAUGGGCUUGGGACCCAGAGGUCAUGGGUUCGAAUCCCAGCUCUGCCA
rfam:Ornithorhynchus anatinus chromosome 3, whole genome shotgun sequence.